rnacentral:rRNA from 1 species
GAUGAACGCUGGCGGCGUGCCUAAUACAUGCAAGUCGAGCGAACGGACGAUAAGCUUGCUUCUCUGAUGUUAGCGGCGGACGGGUGAGUAACACGUGGAUAACCUACCUAUAAGACUGGGAUAACUUCGGGAAACCGGAGAUAAUACCGGAUAAUAUUUUGAACCGCAUGGUUCAAAAGUGAAAGACGGUCUUGCUGUCACUUAUAGAUGGAUCCGCGCUGCAUUAGCUAGUUGGUAAGGUAACGGCUUACCAAGGCAACGAUGCAUAGCCGACCUGAGAGGGUGAUCGGCCACACUGGAACUGAGACACGGUCCAGCCUCCUACGGGAGGCAGCAGUAGGGAAUCUUCGGCAAUGGGCGAAAGCCUGACGGAGCAACGCCGCGUGAGUGAUGAAGGUCUUCGGAUCGUAAAGCUCUGUUAUUGGGGAAGAACAUAUGUGUAAGUAACUGUGCACAUCUUGACGGUACCUAAUCAGAAAGCCACGGCUAACUACGUG